rnacentral:ribozyme from 1 species
UGCAUCUUUUAUAUUUUCUUCUUUGGAAGAAAAAAAUUAAAAAAAAUGGAAAAAGGAAGAAUGAAAGGUUAGAGUUGUGAUGAUAUUUAUUUCUUUUUUCUUUAUAAAUAUAUAUUUUUUCUUUCUAUUUUUCUGCUGCUAUUCUCUGACAUAAUUUAUAAUUAUUCUAUCAA